rnacentral:rRNA from 1 species
UACAUAGGGGGCAAGCGUUAUCCGGAAUUAUUGGGCGUAAAGAGUGCGUAGGCGGUUUAUUAAGUCUGGUGUGAAAUCCCACAGCUUAACUGUGGAGGGUCAUUGGAAACUGGUAAACUUGAGUACGGUAGAGGUAAGUGGAAUUCCAAGUGGAGCGGUGGAAUGCGUAGAUAUUUGGAGGAACACCAGUGGCGAAGGCGGCUUACUGGGCCGUUACUGACGCUGAGGCACGAAAGCGUGGGGAGCAAAC